UACUUGACUUUUAUCAAAUAAUUGGUCUUGUAUAGUUCUACUUCUACUGUUCUAUACACACGAUAAUCUUCAAAUAAUUGGUCUUGUACAGUUACUCUACCAUUCUUACACACGCUAAUCUUCAUAAAGUUUCUCACCAUUGCAAGGAAUCCCAACCAUCAAAAUUUACAUGAAGAGGCUGCUGUUGCUAUUGGGAUUCAAUGGCUUCAUCAGUUAUCAAUCUCCAACAACUAAUCCGCAAAAACUAGUUGCUCUCAAUUACGACGGUCCAACCACUGAACC
rnacentral:lncRNA from 1 species